AGUGAACGCUGGCGGCGUGCUUAACACAUGCAAGUCGAACGAGAACGGAUUAUAGCUUGCUAUAAUUGUCAGCUAAGUGGCGCACGGGUGAGUAAUGUAUAGAUAACCUGCCCUCUAGAAAGGAAUAACAGUUGGUAACGACUGCUAAUGCCCUAUAUGCCUUUAAUACAUAAGUAUGCAAGGGAAACGCUUUAGUGCUAGAGGAUGGGUCUGUAUGGUAUCAGCUUGUUGGUGAGGUAAUGGCUCACCAAGGCUAUGACGCCGAACUGGUUUGAGAGGAUGAUCGAUCAGAAUGGAAAUGCGACACGGUCCAGACUCCUACGGGAGGCAGCAGUGGGGAAUAUUGCACAAUGGACGAAAGUCUGAUGCAGCAACGCCGCGUGGAGGAUGACACAUUUCGGUGCGUAAACUCCUUUUAUAUAGGAAGAUAAUGACGGUACUAUAUGAAUAAGCACCGGCUAACUCCGUGCCAGCCGCCGCGGUAA
rnacentral:rRNA from 1 species